rnacentral:rRNA from 1 species
CGCCUUAUACAUGCAAGUCGAACGGAGUAGCAAUACUCAGUGGCAGACGGGUGAGUAACAUGUGGGAAUCUUCCCUUUGGUGAGGAAUAACACGAGGAAACUUGUGCUAAUACCUCAUAAGUCUUUACGGAGAAAGCUUUAUGCGCCAAUGGAUGAGCCCGCAUUUGAUUAGUUUGUUGGUAGGGUAAUGGCCUACCAAGACUGUGAUCAAUAGCUGAUCUGAGAGGAUGAUCAGCCACAUUGGGACUGAGACACGGCCCAAACUCCUACGGGAGGCAGCAGUAGGGAAUAUUGCACAAUGGAGGAAACUCUGAUGCAGCGAUGCCGCGUGAGUGAAGAAGGCCUUUGGGUUGUAAAGCUCUUUCGUCGGGGAAGAAAAUGACUGUACCCGAAUAAGAAGGUCCGGCUAACUUCGUGCCAGCAGCCGCGGUAAUACGAAGGGACCUAGCGUAGUUCGGAAUUACUGGGCUUAAAGAGUUCGUAGGUGGUUAAAAUAGUUGGUGGUGAAAUCCCAGAGCUUAACUCUGGAACUGCCAUCAAAACUUUUUAGCUAGAGUUUGAUAGAGGAAAGCAGAAUUUCUAGUGUAGAGGUGAAAUUCGUAGAUAUUAGAAAGAAUACCAAUUGCGAAGGCAGCUUUCUGGAUCAUUACUGACACUGAGGAACGAAAGCAUGGGUAGCGAAGAGGAUUAGAUACCCUCGUAGUCCAUGCCGUAAACGAUGUGUGUUAGACGUUGGAAAUUUAUUUUCAGUGUCGCAGCGAAAGCAUUAAACACACCGCCUGGGGAGUACG